UACGUAGGGUGCAAGCGUUGUUCGGAUUUACUGGGCGUAAAGGGCGCGUAGGCGGCCAGCACAAGUCAAUUGUGAAAUCUCCGGGCUUAACUCGGAAAGGUCAACUGAUACUGUGCGGCUAGAGUGCGGAAGGGGCAACUGGAAUUCUUGGUGUAGCGGUGAAAUGCGUAGAUAUCAAGAGGAACACCUGCGGCGAAGGCGGGUUGCUGGGCCGACACUGACGCUGAUGCGCGAAAGCUAGGGGAGCGAACGGG
rnacentral:rRNA from 1 species